GUGGCCUACGGGGCGCAGCAGUGGGGGAUAUUGAACAAUGGGGGAAACCCUGAUCCAGCGACGCCGCGUGAGUGAAGAAGUAUUUCGGUAUGUAAAGCUCUGUCAGCAGGGAAGAAAGAAAUGACGGUACCUGAGUAAGAAGCACCGGCUAAAUACGUGCCAGCAGCCGCGGUAAUACGUAUGGUGCAAGCGUUAUCCGGAUUUACUGGGUGUAAAGGGAGCGCAGGCGGCACGGCAAGCCUGAUGUGAAAGCCCGCGGCCCAACCGCGGGACUGCAUUGGGAACUACCGGGCUGGAGUGCCGGG
rnacentral:rRNA from 1 species